CUGCAGCCAAUUAGGCAGACCAUCCUCCUUGCCCCCUGGGGGCCUGGUGUGUGCCCUGGCCGCAGAAGCAGCCUCCUUGGUAGUGGCUGUAGCCUGCUGCUUGUAUGGGUUGUCCUGAGGACCCUUGGGGACAUGA